rnacentral:rRNA from 1 species
UACGUAGGGGGCGAGCGUUGUCCGGAAUCAUUGGGCGUAAAGCGCGUGUAGGCGGCCCGGUAAGUCCGCUGUGAAAGUCCAGGGCUCAACCCUGGGAUGCCGGUGGAUACUGUCGGGCUCGAGUCCGGAAGAGGCGAGUGGAAUUCCUGGUGUAGCGGUGAAAUGCGCAGAUAUCAGGAGGAACACCCGUGGCGAAGGCGGCUCUCUGGGACGGUACUGACGCUGAGACGCGAAAGCGUGGGGAGCGAACAGG